rnacentral:rRNA from 1 species
AUGGCUCCUCGUCUCCCUCUGCUCUGGGCUCGUGGCCGCCGCCUCCUCCUUCUCGCCGUCGUGCUCUCCCAGCUCGGCGCGCUCUCGUGCCAGACCCUCCGCGGCUCCGUCACCUGCCUCGACUGCCCCGCGGGCCACCACCUCUCCGGUGUGGUCGUGACGGUGGAAUGCAGCGGCGGCGCGGGCCCGCACGUUGUGGCGCGGACGGACGGCGGCGGAAACUUCGGCGUGGCAGUGCCCGAGUCGGUGCUGGCCUCGCGGUGCCCGGCUAGGGUCCUCGGCGGCACGGAGCAGCUCUGCGCGCCGCGGAGGCUCACGGUCGCGCGUGUCGUCGUUGCUGGGCGGCCUGGCUCAUACGCGCUGGGAUCGCGCCUCGCCGUCUUCACAAGGUGCGGAGGAGCCGUCGCGACGAUGUCCGCCGGUGGCAGCGGCGGUCAGACGUCACCCCCGAGGCUUGCUCCACGGUUGCCCUCGCCCAGCCUGCCGCCGUUCGUUGGACGCGCCAGCCCGCCAUACGGCCUGGGCAUCCCUCUCAUCUACGUAUUCCCUUUCAUCCCAAUCAUUGGCAUCCCCUAA